rnacentral:rRNA from 1 species
ACGAACGCUGGCGGCGUGCUUAACACAUGCAAGUCGCACGGAAAGGCCCUGCUUGCAGGGUACUCGAGUGGCGAACGGGUGAGUAACACGUGGGUGAUCUGCCCUGCACUUCGGGAUAAGCUUGGGAAACUGGGUCUAAUACCGGAUAGGAGCCAUCUUUAGUGUGGUGGUUGGAAAGUUUUUUCGGUGUAGGAUGAGCUCGCGGCCUAUCAGCUUGUUGGUGGGGUAAUGGCCUACCAAGGCGGCGACGGGUAGCCGGCCUGAGAGGGUGUACGGCCACAGUGGGACUGAGAUACGGCCCAGACUCCUACGGGAGGCAGCAGUGGGGAAUAUUGCACAAUGGGCGCAAGCCUGAUGCAGCGACGCCGCGUGGGGGAUGAAGGCCUUCGGGUUGUAAACUCCUUUCGCUAGGGACGAAGCUUUGUUGUGACGGUACCUAGAUAAGAAGCACCGGCUAACUACGUG